rnacentral:rRNA from 1 species
CCUACGGGUGGCAGCAGUGGGGAAUAUUGGGCAAUGGGCGCAAGCCUGACCCAGCAACGCCGCGUGAAGGAAGAAGGCUUUCGGGUUGUAAACUUCUUUUAAGAGGGAAGAGCAGAAGACGGUACCUCUUGAAUAAGCCACGGCUAACUACGUGACAACAGCCGCGGUAAUACGUAGGUGGCAAGCGUUGUCCGGAUUUACUGGGUUAAAAGGGCGUGAAGCCGUGAAGACAAGUUAGGUGGUAAAUCCCGGGGCUCAACCGCGGAACUGCAUUUGAAACUGUUUUUCGUGAGUACCGGAGAGGUCAUCGGAAUUCCUUGUGUAGCGGUGAAAUGCGUAGAUAUAAGGAAGAACACCAGUGGCGAAGGCGGAUGACUGGACGGCAACUGACGGUGAGGCGCGAAAGCGUGGGGAGCAAACAGGAUUAGAUACCCCAGUAGUC